GCCCGCACAAGCGGUGGAGCAUGUGGUUUAAUUCGAUGCAACGCGAAGAACCUUACCUACUCUUGACAUCCAGAGAAGCCAGCGGAGACGCAGGUGUGCCUUCGGGAGCUCUGAGACAGGUGCUGCAUGGCUGUCGUCAGCUCGUGUUGUGAAAUGUUGGGUUAAGUCCCGCAACGAGCGCAACCCUUAUCCUUGUUUGCCAGCGAGUAAUGUCGGGAACUCCAGGGAGACUGCCGGUGAUAAACCGGAGGAAGGUGGGGACGACGUCAAGUCAUCAUGGCCCUUACGAGUAGGGCUACACACGUGCUACAAUGGCGCAUACAGAGGGCAGCAAGCUAGCGAUAGUGAGCGAAUCCCAAAAAGUGCGUCGUAGUCCGGAUUGGAGUCUGCAACUCGACUCCAUGAAGUCGGAAUCGCUAGUAAUCGUGAAUCAGAAUGUCACGGUGAAUACGUUCCCGGGCCUUGUACACACCGCCCGUCACACCAUGGGAGUGGGCUGCAAAAGAAGUGGGUAGUUUAACCUUCGGGGAGGACGCUCACCA
rnacentral:rRNA from 1 species